rnacentral:rRNA from 1 species
CGAUUAAGCCAUGCAAGUCGAGAGGGUUCGGCCCUCGGCGUACUGCUCAGUAACACGUGGAUAACCUGCCCUAGGGGAGGGGAUAACCCCGGGAAACUGGGGAUAAUACCCUAUAGGUUACAGAUGCUGGAAUGCCCUGUAACCAAAAGCUCCGGCGCCCUAGGAUGGAUCUGCGGCCGAUUAGGUUGUUGUUGGGGUAACGGCCCAACAAGCCCGUAAUCGGUACGGGUUGUGGGAGCAAGAGCCCGGAGUUGGAUUCUGAGACACGAAUCCAGGCCCUACGGGGCGCAGCAGGCGCGAAACCUUUACAAUGCGGGCAACCGUGAUAAGGGAACCUCGAGUGCCUGUAAACGCAGGCUGUUCAGGUGUUUAAAACGCACCUGGAGAAAGGGCCGGGCAAGACCGGUGCCAGCCGCCGCGGUAAUACCGGCGGCUCGAGUGGUGGCCGCUUUUAUUGGGCUUAAAGCGUUCGUAGCUGGGUUGUUAAGUCUCUUGGGAAAUCUGGCGGCUUAACCGUCAGGCGUCUAAGGGAUACUGGCAAUCUUGGAACCGGGAGAGGUGAGGGGUACUUCGGGGGUAGGGGUGAAAUCCUGUAAUCCUCGAGGGACCACCUGUGGCGAAGGCGCCUCACCAGAACGGCUUCGACAGUGAGGGACGAAAGCUGGGGGAGCAAACCGGAUUAGAUACCCGGGUAGUCCCAGCCGUAAACGAUGCGCGUUAGGUGUAUCGGUGACCACGAGUUACCGAGGUGCCGAAGGGAAACCGUGAAACGCGCCGCCUGGGAAGUACGGUCGCAAGGCUGAAACUUAAAGGAAUUGGCGGGGGAGCA